CGUGUAGGCGGCCCGGUAAGUCCGCUGUGAAAGUCGGGGGCUCAACCCUCGGAAGCCGGUGGAUACUGUCGGGCUAGAGUACGGAAGAGGCGAGUGGAAUUCCUGGUGUAGCGGUGAAAUGCGCAGAUAUCAGGAGGAACACCAAUUGCGAAGGCAGCUCGCUGGGACGUCACUGACGCUGAGACGCGAAAGCGUGGGGAGACAAACAG
rnacentral:rRNA from 1 species